rnacentral:sRNA from 1 species
AAAAAACCAACCUGGCUAUUCCUAGGAAUGAUAAAAUAUCUUCCUUUGUAGAAGGAACAGUUAGAGAAUGGAUCAGAAUCUUUCUAUCUAGGGUAAUAGCUUUUUAGGUUGGGGUAAUUGUUCGUCCCAAAUAGAUGACCAAAGGACUGGACUUUAGAAGGUGAGACCCUGUAACCUUUACUGAAAAUGAAAUUCAGAAGAGCAGAGGUGUCAGUUUGGCAAAUUUUUUGAGAGGGGUUACACAGAAGAAUGCAAUCUAUAUAGUGGACAGUCCUAGAUUUAGGGAGAGAAAGAGAGAAGGUAAUUCAGAAACCAGGGCCUGGCCAAAUUGGUGUGGGCUGUGCUGGAAUCUCUGAGGUAGAACAGUCCAGGUAAGUUGUGUAGAAAAGUGGGUGUCAGGAUCUGUUCAGGAAAAGGCAAAUAUGUUCUGUGACUGGGUAUCUAGAGGGAUAGAGAAAGUAGCAUCCGGAGAUCUAAGAUUGAGAAAUGAGAAUUCCCCAAGGGGAUAGUGGGAAGAAGUGUAUAAGGAUUAGCCACAACAGGAUGUACAGGAACUAUGGCAGAAUUAAUGGACCUGAGGUUUUGAACCAGGAGAUAGGUUCCACUAAGUUUCCUAACUGCUAAUGUAGGGGUUUUAAAGGGGGAAGAGGUAGGGCAAAGGAGGUUUUUCCUUAAGAGAUCAGAGGUGAUAUACUUAAGGCCCCUGAGGCUCUGGAGUGAAAGCAGGUAUUGAGGUUGGGUGAUGUACCUGGUAGAAUUCAGUAAUUGCUUGACAACAGGAGAAUGUUUAGCAGCAGAGGGGUUCUGGACAUCCCUGACAAGGAGGUCUACUUGAGAAGCUGGUAAAAAGAACAUGUUAAUGCCAGAAGUCAACUUGCAUUAGAAAAUGUGCUAUUACCAAGAAGCAUGUCACCAAGACAACCGAAUAGAACUGUCCAGAGUAUGUCCUUCUGCAGAAAUAUCAAUUGAGACAACUAUCCAGGCAUGAAAUACCUUCAUAAGAACUAAACAAAACAGGGAAAGCUCCUUAAACCAGAAGAGAGUUGUGGCAAAAAAAGACACACUCAACCAAGAGUUGCGAUGAAAGCAAUGUGUCACAUGAAUUGCCAAUACUUACACUAGUUAAAAGAAGAAAGAAACAAAAGAAAAUAGAGCAUCAUUAUAUAAAAGAGUCAACUUAUCAAGCAGAACCAUCCCUUUAUUCUUCUUCUUUCCCCUACAAUGAAGUGAUUCUUUACAACAUCCUGUGCUCCUUUUAAAGCCCAUUGGUUCCUUGUGGUGCUGUCAGAAUGUACAUGAGGAACGUCUACUGAAGAAAGGAAAGCCUCUCAGAAGCCAAAUACCUGAAGAAAACUCACUCUGCCUCUCAUAAGAAUCCAUCAGUGGCCAAUAUCACCUCAGUGUUUCCACAGGACGUAUCCCAGAUGAUUGAGUCGGGGGAAAGUCUACAAAAGUUUGGAUGUUGAUUAUUUCCUAAUAUCCCAGAAAUGAGAGGAAAGCCUAAACAUGAUCUAGGAUUAAGGAUACCAGCUUUUGCAGAAGAACUAAAACAACUACCCAUGUCUAAACAAGCAACUACUAGACUCUUGGGCUUCCCAUUCACAACUGCCCAUUGUUGGGUUAGCUGGACUACUGACUAGUCACCAGCCAACAAACAGGCAUUAAAUUCACCAUCCUAAGGAAAUUAUUCAUACUCAAAACAUAACAGCCAAAAGUCAUGCACUUGAAGACUUCUGUCUCUACUCCUCUAUUCUACGGAUAAAGUGAAACCAUAACUUUCAGGAAAAGAAAACAUGAGAAUGUAGAUUACAAAAGUCGGAACUGACAAAAUACAUAAAGACCAUGGGAUGGAAUUUACAUUUUGAGGAUGGCAGAGUAAUGAAUCAGAAAGAGCCUUUGACACCAACGACUCACAGGAAGUCCCAACAUGUCUCCUUAAUAUCUUCAUAGUGGUCAUAUCAUUUGAAUAUGAAGAAGAAAAAGAGCAGGUGGAGGUAUUCAACCAUGCCGUCAAUCAACUAUGCAAUGCAACUAUGCAAUGACCAAUUAAAAGAAUAAGAAAUCUAAAUGAAUAGAUCUUUUAUUAUUAAUUUCAUUUAAUACUGGUUAAGCAAGAGAGACAGUUGAAUUAGGGUUUUUAAA